rnacentral:rRNA from 1 species
GGAGGUAGAGCACUGAAUGGGCUAGGGGCUGACAACAGUUACUGAACCCUAUCAAACUCCGAAUGCCAUAUACUUGUACCCCGGCAGUCAGCCUACGAAUGAUAAGAUCCGUGGUCAAAAGGGAAACAGCCCAGACCAUCAGCUAAGGUCCCAAAGUGUAAGUUAAGUGGGAAAGGAUGUGGGAUUUCUAAGACAACUAGGAUGUUGGCUUAGAAGCAGCCACUCAUUUAAAGAGUGCGUAAUAGCUCACUAGUCGAGAGAUCCUGCGCCGAAGAUGUAACGGGGCUCAAACUUACCACCGAAGCUAUGGAUGUGUACUUUGUACACGUGGUAGAGGAGCUUUCUGUACAGGUUGAAGUCAUACCGUAAGGAGUGGUGGACAGUACAGAAGUGAGAAUGCUGGCAUAAGUAGCGAAAAACAAGUGAGAAUCUUGUUGACCGAAUAUCUAAGGUUUCCUGGGGAAGGCUCGUCCUCCCAGGGUUAGUCGGGACCUAAGCCGAGGCCGAAAGGCGUA